rnacentral:rRNA from 1 species
AUUGAACGCUGGCGGCAUGCUUUACACAUGCAAGUCGAACGGUAACAGGGUGCUUGCACCGCUGACGAGUGGCGAACGGGGGAGUAAUGCGUCGGAACGUGCCGAGUAGUGGGGGAUAACGCAGCGAAAGUUGUGCUAAUACCGCAUACGUACUGAGGUAGAAAGUGGGGGACCUUCGGGCCUCACGCUAUUCGAGCGGCCGACGUCUAAUUAGCUAGUAGGUGAGGUAAAGGCUCACCUAGGCGACGAUCAGGAGCGGGGCUGAGAGGAUGAUCCGCAACACUGGGACUGAGACACGGCCCAGACUCAUACGGGAGGCAGCAGUGGGGAAUUUUGGACAAUGGGCGAAAGCCUGAUCCAGCCAUGCCGCGUGUCUGAAGAAGGCCUUCGGGUUGUAAAGGACUUUUGUCAGGGAGGAAAUCCCUAGUGCUAAUAACACUGGGGGAUGACAGUACCUGAAGAAUAAGCACCGGCUAACUACGUGCCAGCCGCCGCCGUAA